rnacentral:rRNA from 1 species
UCCUACAGCUAUAGCACCCUGAAUGUGUCCGAUCCCAUCUGAUCUUGGAAGCUAAGCAAGGUUGAGCCUGGUUAGUGCUUGAAAUGAGAGACCACCUUGGCAAACCAGGUGCUGUAGACU